GUGAUUAAUCGAGCGUGUCUUCAUUGACCGCUCACCCUUCUCACCAUCCACAUACACCUGUGCACUGUUUAGCCUGAGCCGGUUUUCCGGUCCAGGUUAUCAUUUCAUACAAACUCUAGUCUUAUGAAUGUAAACGUUUUAAUAACAUAAUA
rnacentral:misc_RNA from 1 species